GAUGAACGCUGGCGGCGUGCCUAAUACAUGCAAGUCGAGCGAACAGAUAAGGAGCUUGCUCCUUUGACGUUAGCGGCGGACGGGUGAGCAACACGUGGGUAACCUACCUAUAAGACUGGGAUAACUUCGGGAAACCGGAGCUAAUACCGGAUAAUAUUUCGAACCGCAUGGUUCGAUAGUGAAAGAUGGUUUUGCUAUCACUUAUAGAUGGACCCGCGCCGUAUUAGCUAGUUGGUAAGGUAACGGCUUACCAAGGCGACGAUACGUAGCCGACCUGAGAGGGUGAUCGGCCACACUGGAACUGAGACACGGUCCAGACUCCUACGGGAGGCAGCAGUAGGGAAUCUUCCGCAAUGGGCGAAAGCCUGACGGAGCAACGCCGCGUGAGUGAUGAAGGUCUUCGGAUCGUAAAACUCUGUUAUUAGGGAAGAACAUACGUGUAAGUAACUGUGCACGUCUUGACGGUACCUAAUCAGAAAGCCACGGCUAACUACGUG
rnacentral:rRNA from 1 species